rnacentral:lncRNA from 1 species
GAGGGUCUUACAGGUCCUAUGGCUGGGUGGAGGGUCCUACAGGUCCUAUAGCUGGGUGGAGGGUCCUACAGGUCCUAUGGCUGGGUGGAGGGUCUUACAGGUCCUAUGGCUGGGUGGAGGGUCUUACAGGUUCUAUGGCUGGGUGGAGGGUCCUACAGGUCCUAUGGCUGGGUGGAGGGUUUUACAGGUCCUAUGGCUGGGUGGAGGUUCUUACAGGCCCUAUGGCUGGGUGGAGGUUCUUACAGGCCCUAUGGCUGGGUGGAGGGUUUUACAGGUCCUAUGGCUGGGUGGAGGGUCCUACAGGUCCUAUGGCUGGGUGGAGGGUCCUACAUGU